GGCGAACGGGUGAGUAACACGUGAGUAACCUGCCCUUGACUUUGGGAUAACUUCAGGAAACUGGGGCUAGUACCGGAUAGGAGCUCCUGCUGCAUGGUGGGGGCUGGAAAGUUUCGGCGGUUGGGGAUGGACUCGCGGCUUAUCAGCUUGUUGGUGGGGUAGUGGCUUACCAAGGCUUUGACGGGUAGCCGGCCUGAGAGGGUGACCGGCCACAUUGGGACUGAGAUACGGCCCAG
rnacentral:rRNA from 1 species